UCUGGUGUUUUUUCUGCUGUGUUCCACUUCGAGAGAUAUUAUUUUGUUGGUCGUGGAUUUUAGAACAAUCAUGCAAAACAGCCAAGUCUCCAUCUCUUUAUAGAGGUCAUGGUGUUUUUUCCUCUUUAUUGUCCAUUCAGAUUCCAAGCUACAUAAAAUAACUUGGUGAAAGGAUAAUGAUACAGUGAAUAUGUUUCAGGUCUAAAGUGAGGAUUACUCAUUCAAACAAAAGAUAAUAAACCAGAAUGAAGAAAGCUUGUUUCAUGUCAGGAAGAUAAGUAUAUUAUAUUAGACUCAUGCAUUUCGAUUAGGAGUCUUUCGUUAACAAUGUUUCGAUUUUUUGUUUCUGGUCUCCUCUUGCAGGAAGCUUUUGCAAGUUUAAACCCCCGCUCUUCUGUUUAAUCUUGAACAAGGAGAUAUAUGGGAGAAUAUAAAAGGCUGAAGGUAGACGAAGAUAACAAAGAAGCUCUCUAAAUUCCCAAUAAAGAGAAAACCGAAAACGUCACUAAGACACUAUUUCAAAGUUUGAGGUGGACAAGGAGAAGCUCUAUUUAUGAUAUGAGCAACUAAGUAAGCCAACAAACUCCUUUAGAGACCAUACUCACUUACCCCUGUAGAACAGCAUGUAGGCAAAAAAAAAAGAGGUGACAAAGAUACCUGAAUAGGAGAGGUUCUACAAAGAAAAGAUUGCACAGUUGGAAGAAUCACUCAAGGUAAGUAAUAAGCUUACGUAUAUACAUAUUUUCUCUUUUCUUUGUAUGCAAAUUCUUUGGGCGUAGGAUGACAAAAAUUCAGCACAUUGUGGAAAUUUCUCGGCUCCUCCAUGGACAAAAAAAACGAAGGAUGAGUGAUAGAUUAUUUUUUCUUCGCUAAAAGGUUUGACUGAAUGAUAAAAAAAAAAGAUAUAUUUUCUAGAGCUUGUAAGCAGUGAUAGAAGUGUCUGGAAGCACUUCAUAUUGGAGUAAAACAAGACGAUCAACCAGCCAAGAAAUCCACUUGUGUCAUGGUGUUUUCUCCUCUGUAGUAUCCCAUUCAAAUUUCAAGGUAAGAGAGAAACCGCGAACUGGAGGUGAGUCAAAAGAAAGGAUGGGGCCUUCGUUUCGAUCUCCGGAGUUAUCUUUUAGUUAUUAAAGUUUAAUUAUCCUCCCAGUCCCAGGUAUGUUUCAUUUUUUUUACUUCAUUUCGAUUUUUUCUCUUAUAACUCGAAAUUACCAUCUAUUUUGUUCUUAUAACAUAUUUCAUAGCUAACAUACUUUCAGAAUUCUAUAGAGAUUGAACAGGUUAUAGACGGAAAAACACAGAGAAUAAUAAUGUUAUGGUCCUUGGUUCUUAUAAUAACAUGCAUGAUCUAAGUUGAUCUCUUAAAUCUCUUAACACAUAGCAUACAUUUAUGUUUAGUUUCUUGCAUUCAUGCAUGUUUGCUUCCUUGAUUCACAGCUUGAUUCUUUACUUGCAUCAUUAACCGUCAUUUCCUUGCUUAACUUGCGUUUGCUUGUUUCUUUCACUAGUUGCAUUCAGGCAUGGUUGCUUCCUUGAUUCAUUGAUUGCUUCUUUACUUCCAUCAUUAACCGUCACUUCCUUGCUUAACUUGUGUUUGCUUGUUUCGUUCACUAGUUGCAUUCAGGCAUGGUUGCUUCCUUGAUUCAUUGAUUGCUUCUUUACUUCCAUCAUUAUCCGUCACUUCCUUGCUUAACUUGUGUUUGCUUGUUUCGUUCACUAGUUGCAUUCAUACAUGGUUGCUUCCUUGAUUCACUGCUUGAUUCUUUACUUACAUCAUUAACCGUCACUUCCUUGCUUAACUUGCGUUUGCUUGUUUCUUUCACUAGUUGCUUUCAUGCUAGCUUACUUAACUCAUUUACUUGAUGCUUUCUUUGUUUUUUGCUUGCUCAUUUUCUCAGUUCAUUUAUUAACUUGUUUGUGUGCAUGC